rnacentral:rRNA from 1 species
UGGGGAAUAUUGCACAAUGGGCGCACGCCUGAUGCAGCCAUGCCGCGUGUAUGAAGAAGGCCUUCGGGUUGUAAAGUACUUUCAGCGAGGAGGAAGGCGGUAAGGUUAAUAACCUUAUCGAUUGACGUUACUCGCAGAAGAAGCACCGGCUAACUCCGUGCCAGCAGCCGCGGUAAUACGGAGGGUGCAAGCGUUAAUCGGAAUUACUGGGCGUAAAGCGCACGCAGGCGGUCUGUCAAGGCGGAUGUGAAAUCCCCGGGCUCAACCUGGGAACUGCAUUCGAAACUGGCAGGCUAGAGUCUUGUAGAGGGGGGUAGAAUUCCAGGUGUAGCGGUGAAAUGCGUAGAGAUCUGGAGGAAUACCGGUGGCGAAGGCGGCCCCCUGGACAAAGACUGACGCUCAGGUGCGAAAGCGUGGGGAGCAAACA